rnacentral:rRNA from 1 species
ACUCCUACGGGAGGCAGCAGUAAGGGAUAUUGCACAAUGGGCGAAAGCCUGAUGCAGCGACGCCGCGUGAGGGAUGACGGCCUUCGGGUUGUAAACCUCUUUCAGCAGGGACGAAGCGAAAGUGACGGUACCUGCAGAAGAAGCACCGGCCAACUACGUGCCAGCAGCCGCGGUAAU